rnacentral:rRNA from 1 species
GCUUACACAUGCAAGUCGUACGAGAACUCUUCUGCUUGCAGAAGAUAGUAAAGUGGCGCACGGGUGAGUAACGCGUGGGUAAUCUACCUCCGAAUUGGGGAUAACAUUGCGAAAGCGAUGCUAAUACCGAAUAAUAUCCUUAUAACUUAGGUUAUUAGGAUCAAAGAUGGCCUCUACAUGUAAGCUACUGUUUGGAGAUGAGCCCGCGUACCAUUAGCUUGUUGGUAGGGUAAUGGCUUACCAAGGCAACGAUGGUUAGCUGGUCUGAGAGGAUGAUCAGCCACACUGGAACUGACACACGGUCCAGACUCCUACGGGAGGCAGCAGUGAGGAAUUUUGCGCAAUGGGGGAAACCCUGACGCAGCAACGCCGCGUGAGUGAUGAAGGCUUUCGAGUUGUAAAGCUCUGUCAAGUGAGAAGAACCUGCUUGUUGUUAAUAUCAUUAAGUACUGACGGUAUCACUGAAGGAAGCACCGGCUAACUCCGUGCCAGCAGCCGCGGUAAUACGGAGGGUGCGAGCGUUAUUCGGAAUCAUUGGGCGUAAAGGGCGCGUAGGCGGUCUUUUAAGUCAGAUGUGAAAGCCCGGGGCUCAACCCCGGAAGUGCAUUUGAAACUAAUAGACUUGAGUAUGGGAGAGGGAAGUGGAAUUCCUGGUGUAGAGGUGAAAUUCGUAGAUAUCAGGAGGAACACCGGUGGCGAAGGCGACUUCCUGGACCAAUACUGACGCUGAGGCGCGAAGGCGUGGGGAGCAAACAGGAUUAGAUACCCUGGUAGUCCACGCAGUAAACGAUGAACACUAGGUGUAGCGGGUAUUGACCCCUGCUGUGCCGCAGUUAACGCAUUAAGUGUUCCGCCUGGGGAGUACGACCGCAAGGUUAAAACUCAAGGAAUUGACGGGGGCCCGCACAAGCGGUGGAGCAUGUGGUUUAAUUCGACGCAACGCGAAGACCUUACCUGGAUUUGACAUCUCGGGAAAUUUUCGGAAAGAAAGAUGUGUCCUUCGGGAAAC